GACGAACGCUGGCGGCGUGCUUAACACAUGCAAGUCGAACGGAAAGGCCCUGCUUUUGUUGGGUGCUCGAUUGGCGAACGGGUGAGUAACACGUGAGUAACCUGCCCUUGACUUUGGGAUAACUUCAGGAAACUUGGGCUAAUACCGGAUAGGAGCUCUUGCUGCAUGGUGGGGUUUGGAAAGUUUCGGCGGUUGGGGAUGGACUCGCGGCUUAUCAGCUGGUUGGUGGGGUAGUGGCUUACCAAGGCUUUGACGGGUAGCCGGCCUGAGAGGGUGACCGGCCACAGUGGGACUGAGAUACGGCCCAGACUCCUACGGGAGGCAGCAGUGGGAAAUAUUGCACAAUGGGCGGAAGCCUGAUGCAGCAACGCCGCGUGCGGGAUGACGGCCUUCGGGUUGUAAACCGCUUUCGCCUGUAACGAAGCGUGAGUGACGGUAAUGGGUAAAGAAGCACCGGCUAACUACGUG
rnacentral:rRNA from 1 species